rnacentral:rRNA from 1 species
UACGGAGGGUGCAAGCGUUGCUCGGAAUUAUUGGGCGUAAAGGGCAGGUAGGUGGUCUUAUUUGUCCGGGGUGAAAUCCUUGAGCUUAACUCAAGAAGUGCCCCGGAGACGGUGAGACUGGAGUCCUGGAGAGGGUCGUGGAAUUCCCGGUGUAGCGGUGAAAUGCGUAGAGAUCGGGAGGAACACCAGAGGCGAAAGCGGCGACCUGGACAGGCACUGACACUCAACUACGAAAGCGUGGGGAGCAAACAGG